rnacentral:rRNA from 1 species
CCUACGGGUGGCUGCAGUGGGGAAUAUUGGACAAUGGGCGAAAGCCUGAUCCAGCCAUGCCGCGUGUGUGAAGAAGGCCUUCGGGUUGUAAAGCACUUUCAGUGGGGAAGAAAGCCUUGGGGCUAAUACCCCCGAGGAAGGACAUCACCCACAGAAGAAGCACCGGCUAACUCCGUGCCAGCAGCCGCGGUAAUACGGAGGGUGCGAGCGUUAAUCGGAAUUACUGGGCGUAAAGCGCGCGUAGGCGGUCUGAUAAGCCGGUUGUGAAAGCCCCGGGCUCAACCUGGGAACGGCAUCCGGAACUGUCAGGCUAGAGUGCAGGAGAGGAAGGUAGAAUUCCCGGUGUAGCGGUGAAAUGCGUAGAGAUCGGGAGGAAUACCAGUGGCGAAGGCGGCCUUCUGGACUGACACUGACGCUGAGGUGCGAAAGCGUGGGUAGCAAACAGGAUUAGCUACCCCAGUAGUC